UGGGGCGUGGGCUAAUGGCAGGCCGCAGGACUUUGAAUCCUUGCAGUGAAGGUUCGAAUCCUUCCGCCCCAG
rnacentral:tRNA from 1 species